GGAUCCUGGUUGGUGCACCACAGGCAGCUGGCCAGGGUUUGCUGCGGGGGAGUCGGCCAGGAGCUCUGUUUAGGUGUCCAAUCACUCCAGAGGAGUACGACUGUGAAAGAGUGGACAUUGACGGAAGCGUGAGUCUGGACAGAGAGAGCAAAGACAACCAGUGGCUGGGUGUUACUGUCAAGAGUCAGGGGAUCGGAGGAAAGGUGGUGACCUGCGCUCACUUAUAUGAGCUCAGGCAACGUGUGAAUCAACCCUCGGAGACUCGCGAUCCCAUCGGACGCUGCUAUGUCCUAAGCGAGGACCUGACAGAGCGAGAUGACCUGGAUGGAGGGGAGUGGAAAUUCUGCGAGGGUCGACCGCAGGGACACGAACAGUUUGGCUUCUGUCAGCAGGGCCUUUCUGUCAGCUUCACCCCAGACAACAGCUUUAUUCUGUUUGGAGCUCCGGGGACAUACAACUGGAAAGGUAAUAAAUCUCAACAUGACACAAGUCCACGGUUUCCGCUCUGUUUUCUGUCUUCUUUGCAAAGAACUGU